GAUGAACGCUAGCGGCAGGCUUAAUACAUGCAAGUCGAGGGGCAUCAAGGUACACGAAAGUGUAUUGUUGGCGACCGGCGGACGGGUGAGUAAUAGGUAGGUAACCUACCUCAUACUGAGGCAUAGCUGGGAGAAAUUCCAGGUAAUUCCUCAAUGAGGUUAUAUGACACAUGUGAUAUAAUCAAAGGUAUCGCAAGGUACUGGUAUGAGAUGGGCUUACUGACCAUUAGCUAGUUGGUGAGAUAAGAGCUCACCAAGGCGAAGAUGGUUAGGGGUUUUGAGAGAGAGAUCCCCCACAUUGGAACUGAGAUACGGUCCAGACUCCUACGGGAGGCAGCAGUGGGGAAUAUUGCACAAUGGGGGAAACCCUGAUGCAGCGACGCCGCGUGAGCGAAGAAGGCCUUCGGGUCGUAAAGCUCUGUCCUAAGGGAAGAAACGGACGGUACCUUAGGAGGAAGCCCCGGCUAACUACGUG
rnacentral:rRNA from 1 species